UCUCCUACAACAUUUCGAAAUUUCCCUUUUUCGCUGUUCUUUGUCUGCCCUAAAAGAUCUAACCAUUUCACUUUAGUUAUGUUGCCAUUAUUAUCUCAACGCUGUCGAUCUCUCUCCGUUCGAAGAGGUUAAGUCUUGCACUAUCCUAGGUUCUCUACAGUUGCCGAUCCUAUGUUCUCUACGUUCCAUACGAUGAGCAAUUACAAACCGAUCAUAUGUUGUGGACAGUAGAAUCAGAUUACAUGAACUGCAGAUUUGAUGGACUAUUACACAAUUAAGAACAGAAUCCUAAGUAUUCAAAAAAAAAAAAAAAGAACAAAAUCCUAAUAUGAAAUGCAUUGCAAGGUUUUUCCAGUUUGGAUGAAUAAAGAAUAAAGAGUACAUCAAGGAGUACAUAUGUGAGGGCAUAUGUUCUCUUCAAUGACGCAAAGCUGAAACAUUUGGAUAGCAAAGGCUAAAAGAUUUGGUCAGAGAAGAGAAAGAA